GUGCCAGCCGCCGCGGUAAGACGUAGGGGGCGAGCGUUGUCCGGAAUUACUGGGCGUAAAGAGCACGUAGGCGGAUGUUUAAGUCAGGUGUGAAAGACCGCAGCCCAACUGCGGGGUUGCACUUGAAACUGAAUGUCUUGAGGGCAGGAGAGGUCAGUAGAAUUCCUGGUGUAGCGGUGAAAUGCGUAGAAAUCGGGAGGAAUACCAGUGGCGAAGGCGACUGACUGGACUGACCCUGACGCUGAGGUGCGAAAGCGUGGGUAGCAAACAGGAUUAGAUACCCUGGUAGUCCACGCCGUAAACGAUGGAUACUAGGUGUGGGAGGUAUCGACCCCUUCCGUGCCGCAGCAAACGCAAUAAGUAUCCCGCCUGGGGAGUACGGUCGCAAGGCUGAAACUCAAGACGG
rnacentral:rRNA from 1 species